rnacentral:rRNA from 1 species
UACAGAGGUCUCAAGCGUUUGUUCGGAUUCAUUGGGCGUAAAGGGUGCGUAGGCGGCGCGGUAAGUCGGGGUGUGAAAUCUCGGAGCUUAACUCCGAAACUGCAUUCGAUACUGCCGUGCUUGAGGACUGGAGAGGAGACUGGAAUUUACGGUGUAGCGGUGAAAUGCGUAGAUAUCGUAAGGAAGACCGUGGCGAAGGCGG